rnacentral:snRNA from 1 species
GGAUGUGAGGGCAGUCUGGCUGCAACAUCUGUCAGCCUAUUGUUUGCUAGGCUUGAUUUGGCACAUCUGGCUGGCUAGGCGGGUGUCCACUUCCUCCGUCACCAGUCCAUGUGCGUCCCUGCCGAAGCUACGUGCUCAGUCAAAGAGCAUGACCAUUCCUGAUAGAGGAGGGUCAGUCUUUGGUCAAGAGUAUACAAAUAGCUGCAUUCCCCUGCAGCUACUCCAACUCUCGUUAGUUGUGUGCCUUGAAUAUUAAUAAGAUCCCGAGGUCAGGUACAACUUUGUCUUCUG